UGGGGUUGUUCUGUCCGGCUGAGGAAGGGGACAGGCUCCCUUUAUUCUCACAAUGAUCUGGCAACUUGUCAUCACUUUCCCCACUACGGUCUUGUCAUUUGGGACAACAGGAGAACUGCCUUUCACGCAACUGCUUCCAGUAGUGUUUUAACAUCAAGUUUCCAUGCAGAGGAUCUGGGGGAAAGAAAAGGCUCCAAAGGCCCAGAACGUACGACUGCAGGAAAAACAGGAGCAACAUUCCUUCUGGUCCCCCUCCCCAUUUUGUUACCUAAACUCUGCAAGCCGUACGAGUAAGUUGCUCAGGAAUAAGACUUGCUUACAGCUACUCAGCAGCCCUCAGGGAGAAGGUGGCACUUUCCUCCGUUUUAUUUGGGGUAAAUUUACAAGCACAACCUUCCAUUUGCGGCAGUCAUGACUCCACCAAAACAGUCCCUGCUGGGUC